rnacentral:rRNA from 1 species
UGCUAAUACCGAAUGUUGUGCAACCUCCGCAUGGAGGAUGCAUUAAAGAUGGCCUCUACUUGUAAGCUAUCGCUUUGCGAUGGGUCUGCGUCUGAUUAGCUAGUUGGUGGGGUAACGGCCUACCAAGGCGACGAUCAGUAGCCGGUCUGAGAGGAUGAACGGCCACAUUGGAACUGAGACACGGUCCAGACUCUACGGGAGGCAGCAGUGGGGAAUCUUCCGCAAUGGGCGAAAGCCUGACGGAGCAACGCCGCGUGAGUGAAGAAGGUCUUCGGAUCGUAAAGCUCUGUUGUCGGGGACGAAUGUACCUUUUGUGAAUAAUGAGAGGUAAUGACGGUACCUGACGAGGAAGCCACGGCUAACUACGUGCCAGCAGCCGCGGUAAUACGUAGGUGGCGAGCGUUGUCCGGAAUUAUUGGGCGUAAAGGGAGCGCAGGCGGGAAGGCAAGUCAGUCUUAAAAGUGCGGGGCUCAACCCCGUGAUGGGAUUGAAACUGUCUUUCUUGAGUGCAGGA